GUCUACAGCCAUGCCACCCUGAACAAGCUCGAUGUCUGAUCUCAGAAGCUACGUAGGGUUGGGCCUGGUUAGUACUUGGGUAGGAGACCACCUAGGAAGACCAGGUGCUGUAGGCA
rnacentral:rRNA from 1 species